rnacentral:lncRNA from 1 species
GAUGGGUCCGAGCAACCCAGAAAGUGAUGUCCUAGCAACCAAAUAAAAGCGUGUCUAAGAAAGAGCCAUCAAUACUAAUCAAGUGCUCUUGGGGUACAGUAGGCCCAUGUUUUUUUGUGGAGUCAAGAAUUACAGCCACACACUACUCCAUACUGACUGCUAUUGACUUGUAAUGUACCAUCCCUCUGUUCAGAAGCCUUUGAUGACUCCCCUUUGCCUGCAUAAGUCAAGUCCAAGACUGGGAAUUUAUAUUUUAAUAUGACUGUGAGCCAAACUGCACAGCAUUUUACAAGUCUCCAGGAAGCUCUGCAAUGUUUACAUCUCCUUAUUUACUCAUUCUGUUCACAUUCCUCUAUGUGUGGAAUGCCACUCUGUCCCUCUUUGCCUAUGGAAAUCUUGGCAGUCCUUUAGGGGCUAAUUCUGAUACCCUCCUCUCCAUAAAUACUUU